rnacentral:rRNA from 1 species
UCGAACGGCAGCGCGGGGCAACCUGGCGGCGAGUGGCGAACGGGUGAGUAAUAUAUCGGAACGUACCCAGAAGUGGGGGAUAACGUAGCGAAAGUUACGCUAAUACCGCAUACGAUCUACGGAUGAAAGUGGGGGACCUUCGGGCCUCAUGCUUGUGGAGCGGCCGAUAUCUGAUUAGCUAGUUGGUGAGGUAAAGGCUCACCAAGGCGACGAUCAGUAGCUGGUCUGAGAGGACGACCAGCCACACUGGGACUGAGACACGGCCCAGACUCCUACGGGAGGCAGCAGUGGGGAAUUUUGGACAAUGGGCGCAAGCCUGAUCCAGCAAUGCCGCGUGAGUGAAGAAGGCCUUCGGGUUGUAAAGCUCUUUUGUCAGGGAAGAAACGGCCUAGGCUAAUAUCCUGGGCUAAUGACGGUACCUGAAGAAUAAGCACCGGCUAACUACGUGCCAGCAGCCGCGGUAAUACGUAGGGUGCAAGCGUUA